rnacentral:snRNA from 1 species
GCUGCAUUAUAUAUGGUCUUGAAAAGUCAAAACUAUGUAGGAGAACGUAGGGUAGUCAAGCUUUCAAGACUGCAGACACAUCCAAGUGAGGCGCUGCACAAGGCAGUCUGCCAUUUUUU